rnacentral:rRNA from 1 species
UGAGGAAUAUUGGUCAAUGGGCGAGAGCCUGAACCAGCCACGUCGCGUGAAGGAAGACUGACCUUACGGUUUGUAAACUUCUUUUGUAGAGGGGUAAUGGCAGAUACGUGUAUUUGCGUGAAAGUACUCUACGAAUAAGCAUCGGCUAACUCCGUGCCAGCAGCCGCGGUAAUACGGGGGAUGCGAGCGUUAUCCGGAAUUAUUGGGUUUAAAGGGUGCGCAGGUGGCUAAUCAGGUCAGUGGUGAAAAGCUAUGGCUCAACCAUGGUCUUGCCAUUGAAACCGUAUAGCUAGAGAGGAGACGAGGUAGGCGGAAUGUGUGGUGUAGCGGUGAAAUGCAUAGAUAUCACACAGAACUCCGAUUGCGUAGGCAGCUUACCAGGCUUUAUCUGACACUUAGGCACGACAGCGUGGGGAUCAAACAGG